UAAUCCAGAUGACAAAAAAACAAAAGGCUUUCUCAUCUAUUACCUUCUUUGGAUGUGCCCUGAAACUCGGUCACAAGCUCCUGCAACAAAAGAGGAAUGCAUUGCUAAGCAACAAAUUCCAAUUAACUAAAAUGACUGAAAAUCACAGCCACGCAAUCACGCAUACAACAUAAAUAUUCUGCCACAUGAAGUAAACCCCAAACCCUAACAUCAUAUUAUAGUCAAAAGCCCACAAAAAAGGGGAAAAAAAUAGAUAUCAGAAUCUAGGUUCUAGGAGAACCAAUGCCGGAAGAACAAAAAAAUGAUAUUGAAAUCAUCAACUUCACCUAGAAAAUAAAACCAGAAAUUAUACCGAAAUGAAUCGCUUAUCAAGCCUGCAUCGACCGAUGACCUAG
rnacentral:lncRNA from 1 species